rnacentral:rRNA from 1 species
GAUGGCAAAGAGGCCACACCCGUUCCCAUCCCGAACACGGAAGUUAAGCUCUUUUGCGCCGAUGGUAGUUGGGGGUUUCCCCCUGUGAGAGUAGGACGUCGCUGGUC